UCACGGAACUGAGGCAAAAGAACGAGGAGGACAGGAAAGGAGACGUUCUUUGCUUGCCGGCAGGUGUCCCCGGUUCUUUCACCCGAUCCCGUGUCAUCUCUGAGCAGCUGGUCAUCAGAUCCUAGGCAGGAAAGCUCCCCCCCCCGACCGUGAUGCAGGGGACGGGGACAGUGGAAAUGCGGCAAACCGCAGGGGCGUGCGUGCGCGUGGCCGGACGGUCGGCGCUGCCGGGGUGUUCGAGGGCAACUACAGAAUGUUCUCAAAGCCCGAAUGCCACAGCCGCGCAACGGCGGGUCGUUUCGGGGGGCCUCAGCCUCCGCCGCUCUGCUUCUACCACAGCUGUUUCCUGGAAGGGCCGCAGUCUGAGAACAUGACCCCAGCCCUCUGCCUGUGUCAUUAAUUCAGGAAAAGUUACAAUCACCAUACUCUCUACCCACCUCACUCUCAGCACAACCUCCCCACAUGGCUGGAUGUGGAUACUCACCUACCUUGGCAUCUGCUUCAAGAGAGGAGACAGGGGGCCUGUUCUGGAGAGAAGGAAGUCAACUUUUCUUCACUUUGGAACAACUGACGCAUUUCUCUUUCCUUCCUGUCGGGCCAGUGCUGAAGCAGGGCAGCCUCUGCGCCCGCCCAGACAGCUUCUGUGGUUGCCCCCACAUCGCCAAGGACCUCAGGAGCGAGGCCACCCAAAGCCACACCCAGGGGCUCUUGUAGGCCAACAGUCCACGGUCUUCAGCUGGAGGACAGACGAAGCUGACGUUCCUGAAACUUUCACCCCUACCAGGGAAACCCCAAGACAGACUAGAAGCUUCAAAUAUUCAAACGUUUUCACAUUUGCAAGGGGUUUCACAUUGACCUCAAGUGUAAAUGCCUGAUCACAUUGUGAAGAAUGGUUACAAACGCAAGAAUAACAAGACUGGCAUAAGCUUCGGAGGGGGGAGGGUGCACCGCGGGGCUGGGGGGAUUUCACUGAGGUAUCCCAUUCAAAUACAAUACGAUAAAAUCACAAGCAGGGGGAACACACCCCUAUCAAGAAACUACAACGGCACCCUGGAAGCCCCUUUGUCUGCCCUUCCAGUUACUACCUUCUCCCCAAAGAUAACUAUUUUCCUGAUCUCUAACACCACUGAGUCGCUUUCCUGUUUUUGCACUUUGUGUCAAUGAACGUAUAUAAUAUG